UCAGCUGUUUGGCCAAAUAUAUAUACGCGCAUUGGCGGAGAGAUUUUAGUAAUACAGGGACAAUUAUAUCACUGAGAAUAGGUUGAGGGACUAACUGAACCAUUGAGCAUGCGCUGCGCUUGGUUUAAUGUAGCAGCCAAAAAACAACGAGGAAGGACGAAAGAAUGCUGUUCGAAUGAAGUGAAAAAAGAGGGUGGAAAGAAUAGAAGUUGUAUUGAACAAUGUCUGUCCAUCUUGUGCUGCUGCUGGCUUUUUGAUGUUUGCUUUGGUUUCAGCAGAGAUUAAGAAACAACAAGAUGGUACCUGCAGAUCUGUUUCCAGUACACUAUUCUUCAACUUCUACUCAAUUUCACUAGCGAUGAACCGUAUCAGUUAUGUAGUGUAGAAGCAGUUGUUCAUCAUGUAUGCUCUACAAUAAUAAAAAUUGUAUGCUUCUUUGCAGAACCAAAUAAUUGUAUGCCUUUUAUCAGAAAAAAAGAACUGAAUUAGGUUAGGACACAUCAUGAAAACACAGUUCAAAGCAAACAAAUUCUCUUGCCUUGGCGAAAAAGCACAGA